UACGAAGGGGGCUAGCGUUGCUCGGAAUCACUGGGCGUAAAGGGUGCGUAGGCGGACAUUUAAGUCAGGGGUGAAAUCCCAGAGCUCAACUCUGGAACUGCCUUUGAUACUGGGUGUCUUGAGUGUGAGAGAGGUAUGUGGAACUCCGAGUGUAGAGGUGAAAUUCGUAGAUAUUCGGAAGAACACCAGUGGCGAAGACGACAUACUGGCUCAUUACUGACGCUGAGGCUCGAAAGCGUGGGGAGCAAACAGG
rnacentral:rRNA from 1 species